rnacentral:rRNA from 1 species
UGGGGAAUCUUGCGCAAUGGGGGAAACCCUGACGCAGCGACGCCGCGUGCGGGAUGAAGGCCUUCGGGUUGUAAACCGCUUUCAGCAGGGACGAGGCCUUAUGGUGACGGUACCUGCAGAAGAAGCUCCGGCUAAAUACGUGCCAGCAGCCGCGGUAAUACGUAUGGAGCAAGCGUUAUCCGGAUUCAUUGGGCGUAAAGCGCUCGUAGGCGGUCUGUUAGGUCGGCAAGUUAAAUCCGGGGGCUCAACCCCCGUCCGCUUCCGAUACCGGCGGACUUGAGUUUGGUAGGGGAAGGUGGAAUUCCUAGUGUAGCGGUGGAAUGAGCAGAUAUUAGGAAGAACACCGGUGGCGAAGGCGGCCUUCUGGGCCAUAACUGACGCUGAGGAGCGAAAGCUAGGGGAGCGAACAGG